rnacentral:lncRNA from 1 species
UGCACCGAGCCCCCUCGCGCAGCAAGGCAUGGCACGGCACCGCCUGCGCCCGUGCCAAGCCCAUGUCCGAGGCUACAGCCCUCCUUCGAUGUGCCGUCCCGAAGGUGUGCGCCCUCCUUGCGCACAAUGCUGCACCGAGCCCCCUCGCGCAGCAAGGCAUGGCACGGCGCCGCCUGCGCCCGUGCCAAGCCCAUGUCCAAGGCUUCAGC